CUCAUGGCGAAACAUCAAAAUUUGUAUGGCCGCCACAGACACGCCCUUCAACGAAACCUCAAGAUCUUCGCAAUUUAGCAUCGCAAAGGCCUUUAGAUUACACUGACAAAGUUUGGUGUUGAUCUGAAUAAAUCUCUAGGAGGAGUUCGUUAAAGUACAACCCCUGAAAAUGGCAAAAACGACACAAAUUUUGCAGAGAAAAUUCAAAAUAACCGACUUCCUGUUGGGAUUCGAAUUUUGUACCAAGAGACUUUUUUGUAGGUAUUGGUGUGUUACAUGUGUGUACCAAUUUUUGUACAUGUACGUGAAACGUAGCUCGAGGCACACUCCGUUAAACAUGUAUAGGUGGCGCUAUCGAGGCAUUUUGCCACACCCGAUGGAAUAUUGGCCUUCAGAUGUGUUCAGGCCAGGACUCUUAUCAAACAUGUGAAGUUUGGGCAAG
ensembl:lncRNA